GACGAACGCUGGCGGCGUGCUUUAGGCAUGCAAGUCGAACGCGAAAGCCCCUUCGGGGGUGAGUAGAGUGGCGAACGGGUGAGUAACACGUGGGUAACCUGCCCCUCGCAGGGGGAUAACCGGGGGAAACCCCGGCUAAUACCCCGUACGCUUGCCGGGGCGCAUGCUCCGGCAAGGAAAGGUAGUUUCGGCCAUCCGGCGAGGGAGGGGCCCGCGGCCCAUUAGCUAGUUGGUGGGGUAACGGCCCACCAAGGCGACGAUGGGUAGCUGGCCUGAGAGGGUGGUCAGCCACACUGGGACUGAGACACGGCCCAGACUCCUACGGGAGGCAGCAGCCAGGAAUCUUGCGCAAUGGGCGAAAGCCUGACGCAGCAACGCCGCGUGGGCGAUGAAGGCCUUCGGGUCGUAAAGCCCUGUUGUCGGGGACGAAGGGCGAAGGGUUAAUAGCCCCU
rnacentral:rRNA from 1 species